GAUGAACGCUAGCGGCAGGCUUAACACAUGCAAGUCGAGGGGCAGCGAGGAAGUUGCUUGCAACUUCUGUCGGCGACCGGCGCACGGGUGCGUAACGCGUAUGUAACCUACCUUAAACAGGGGGCAUAACACUGAGAAAUUGGUACUAAUUCCCCCAUAACACUUUUGAAGGCAUCUUUGGAAGUUGAAAGUUCCGGCGGUUUAAGAUGGACAUGCGUUGUAUUAGUUAGUUGGUGAGGUAACGGCUCACCAAGACGACGAUACAUAGGGGGACUGAGAGGUUAACCCCCCACAUUGGUACUGAGACACGGACCAAACUCCUACGGGAGGCAGCAGUGAGGAAUAUUGGUCAAUGGGCGCGAGCCUGAACCAGCCAAGUAGCGUGAAGGAUGACUGCCCUACGGGUUGUAAACUUCUUUUGUUUGGGAAUAAAUGAUACUACGUGUAGUAUUUUGCAUGUACCUUACGAAUAAGCAUCGGCUAAUUCCGUG
rnacentral:rRNA from 1 species